GACGAACGCUGGCGGCGUGCUUAACACAUGCAAGUCGAACGGAAAGGCCCUGCUUUUGUGGGGUGCUCGAGUGGCGAACGGGUGAGUAACACGUGAGUAACCUGCCCUUGACUUUGGGAUAACUUCAGGAAACUGGGGCUAAUACCGGAUAGGAGCUCCUGCUGCAUGGUGGGGGUUGGAAAGUUUCGGCGGUUGGGGAUGGACUCGCGGCUUAUCAGCUUGUUGGUGGGGUAGUGGCUUACCAAGGCUUUGACGGGUAGCCGGCCUGAGAGGGUGACCGGCCACAUUGGGACUGAGAUACGGCCCAGACGCCUACGGGAGGCAGCAGUGGGGAAUAUUGCACAAUGGGCGGAAGCCUGAUGCAGCAACGCCGCGUUCGGGAUGACGGCCUUCGGGUUGUAAACCGCUUUCGCCUGUGACGAAGCGUGAGUGACGGUAAUGGGUAAAGAAGCACCGGCUAACUACGUG
rnacentral:rRNA from 1 species